UACUUAACUGAGGUAAAGGAGGG
rnacentral:piRNA from 1 species